GACUUAAAAUCCGUCGACUUUUAAAAUCGUGAGGGUUCAAGUCCCUCUAUCCCCM
rnacentral:tRNA from 1 species